AUACUGUAUAAUCCCCGCGGGGGAAAGAUUUAUCGCUAUUAGAUGAGCCUACGUUAGAUUAGCUAGUUGGUAAGGUAAUGGCUUACCAAGGCUAUGAUCUAUAGCUGGUCUGAGAGGACGAUCAGCCACACUGGAACUGAGAUACGGUCCAGACUCCUACGGGAGGCAGCAGUGGGGAAUAUUGGACAAUGGGCGAAAGCCUGAUCCAGCUAUGCCGCGUGAGUGAAGAAGGCCUUCGGGUUGUAAAACUCUUUCAAUAGGGAAGAUAAUGACGGUACCUAUAGAAGAAGUCCCGGCAAACUCUGUGCCAGCAGCCGCGGUAAUACGGAGGGGGCAAGCGUUGUUCGGAAUUAUUGGGCGUAAAGGGCACGUAGGUGGACUAGUAAGUUAAAAGUGAAAUACCAAAGCUUAACUUUGGAGCGGCUUUUAAUACUGCUAGACUAGAGGUCGAAAGAGGAUAGCGGAAUUCCUAGUGUAGAGGUGAAAUUCGUAGAUAUUAGGAGGAACACCAGUUGCGAAGGCGGCUAUCUGGUUCGAUACUGACACUGAGGUGCGAAAGCGUGGGGAGCAAACAGGAUUAGAUACCCUGGUAGUCCACGCUGUAAACGAUGAGUGCUAAAUGUGAGGAUUUUAUCUUUGUAUUGUAGCUAACGCGUUAAGCACUCCGCCUGGGGASUACGGUCGCAAGACUAAAACUCAAAGGAAUUGACGGGGACCCGCACAAGCGGUGGAGCAUGUGGUUUAAUUCGAUGCUACGCGAAAAACCUUACCACUUUUUGACAUGAAGGUCGUAUCCCUCCUAACARGGGGAGUCAGUUCGGCUGGACCUUACACAGGUGCUGCAUGGUUGUCGUCAGCUCGUGUCGUGAGAUGUUGGGUUAAGUCCCGCAACGAGCGCAACCCUCAUUCUUAGUUACCAACAGGUAAUGCUGGGCACUCUAAGGAAACUGCCAGUGAUAAACUGGAGGAAGGUGGGGAUGAUGUCAAAUCAGCACGGCCCUUAUAAGGUGGGCUACCCACGUGCUCCAAUGGCAACUACAAUAGGUUGCGAGACCGCAAGGUUUAGCUAAUCCAUAAAAGUUGUCUCAGUUCGGAUUGUUCUCUGCAACUCGAGAGCAUGAAGUCGGAAUCGCUAGUAAUCGUGGAUCAUCACGCCACGGUGAAUACGUUCUCGGGUCUUGUACACACUGCCCGUCACGCCAUGGGAAUUGGCUUAACUCGAAGCUGGUGUGCUAACCGCAAGGAAGCA
rnacentral:rRNA from 1 species